GGACGAGGUGGUUCCUGGCACUCCAGGACUUCCGGUUCCAGGUGGCCCACAGACUGGGGAAGGAGCACGCCAACGCGGAUGCCCUGUCACGCCGGGACGCACCCGGCGAGGGGAAUGUGUGGAGGGGUUAAAGCCGAGUCGAGGACUCACUGGAGGGAGGGGACCCACCGACAACGAAGAAGGAGACGCACAACCCCACGACGGCUACAAGGCUCACGGAGACCAUAGCCUAGAGACACUAUUGCAUCCGCGUCUUAUUUCGUUGUUUAUAAACACCGUGACCGGCUUUAAACUCGCCUCGAACGUGCCUACUUUCCGUGUCACCCAGCCUUCCAGCCAACCGGGUUGCCACAGUGUGUACAGUUGUACUAGUUUGUAUUUGUGUGCACAUGUAUCGAUGUGCGUGUGUGUGUGUUCAUGUGUGUAAAUCACGAAGAGUAGUGUGUAUACAUUUGUAUGUGUGUGGAUUGUCUAUGUGUGUGCAUGUUGUCUGCGUGUGUCUGUGUGUGUGUGUGUGUGUGUGUGUGUGUGUGUGUGUGUGUGUGUGUGUGUGUGUGUGUGUGUGUGUGUGUGCGCAGUUUGAGCGCAGUGUUGAGUGGCCACAGGGGGCUAGCAAUCGCUCUGUAGUAACAUGCUACCACAACGAUGCUAACAGCACAGCUCAUACAUGACUCGCAAUUUAUUGUGAAGCGGUUAGCCCGCUUCACAAUGACAUUAACAUCAUCUGUCAGCCACACCGCUUGGGCGCUAUGAUUGGCUGAUUGGCAGUUUUUUUUGGGGGGGGGGUCGUCUGAAUUAAAGCUGUCAACCGCUAGCGCUAUUGAACUUCAAAGCAACAGGACCAUUCUGGGCCCUCUGGCUCAUAGGCCAUAGCUAAUGAGUUAGUCUGAGUGCUAUAUUUAUUUUAGUCCAGUAGCAGAACUUAUUUUCGUUGUUGUUGCUGCAUGUCAGUCUGUGAACUUUUUAGCUACUUCAUUUUGUUGUUGUUCGUCUGAGGUGCAACAUUUUUCUUACUUUCAGUUGUAU
ensembl:lncRNA